GUUGUAUUCUUUCGCCAACUCGUUUCUUGUUUUCAAAGUUGUGUUUGAGUCUGUUCAAGACGAAGAUGAAGUGCAGUUUCAGGUAGGAUAAUUGAAGUUGGAUGAUCCUACACCUCCCUUUAAGUAUUUCAUUCACUCCCACAACAACUGAAUUAUUUGUUUGGUGGCUGGGUGUCCUUCUUCAACCGUGCAUAUUUUCAUUGUGCUAAAAAUGUUAUAUUUCCUCUUGAGUUAAAGUGGUCUCAAAUAUGAAAUACCUAAUAAUGUUUUCCCUUUCUAAUCCUAAAUAAAUUAAAUUCCUGAAUAUUUCUUUGAAAAUGUUUUUUUAGUACAUAUGAAGUAUACUGUAUACCACAUAUGCUUCAGUAUGUAUAUGUGUAAAGCGGCAUAUUAAUUGGAUAUGAAGUGUAUGGCGUAAAAUCGGGUUAGAUUAUAAUUGUAAAUUUCAGUUCAAUUUGCAGGUUUAAGCUGGUUAUCCUUAGAUUGAGAGUUUUUAAUCAGUUCCAUGAAUAUAGAAAUUAUUGCUGUUUUUUCCCGGUUGUAAUAAAUCCACAGACAAGGUUAUCUGAACCUUGCAUGAACAUACUCUUUAAUACUAUCUCCAUUUUAAAU
rnacentral:sRNA from 1 species